rnacentral:sRNA from 1 species
UUUGAAUCUUUAAGUCCUGAAGUUAGGUCUCAGAGCUGGAAGGGGCUACAAGGGUCACCUUUGUACCCUUCAUUGUCUAAAACAUGUCUAUUGUUGUGUUCCUGACCUCAGAUACCCCAGGCUGAGUUGUUCACCUGCUCCUCCUCCCCAGCCCCUGGCUUCUGGCCCCAUCUUGGGGCAGAAAUGUCUGUUCUGCCUUUGGCCUAGAGGCUCUGGGCUGCCUGUGACAUGGGUGACUAGAGACUACUUGGGGGCCCAUGGCUUACCCUGGGUGCCCCUGCUUUGUUUUGAAGCUUCAGACAUUGUGUGCUCCGCUUGACUGAGAACAACUCACAGCCCCUGAUGACCAAGCUGCAGUGGCUCUUUGGCUUCCUAGAACACAGCCAGCGGCCUGCCAUUUCCCCAGAGAACUUCCUCUCCGCAUCCUGGACGCCCUGGUUCAGCCCUGGCACCCAGCAGGACUGCUCGGAGUAUCUGAAGUACCUGCUGGAUCGGCUGCACGAAGAGGAGAAAACGGGCACAAGGAUCUGCCAGAAACUCAAGCAGUCCAGCUCGCCCUCUCCACCCGAGGAGCCCCCGGCCCCAAGUUCAACCUCUG